UGAGGCAAUUAGGAGAAAACGAAAAAAAAAAAAAAGGACAAAAAGCCAAAGGGAGUUGGGGAAAGGGGUACGCAGCAUAUCUGCUUCAAUUGAAACAGAAGCUGAAGAAAAGAGUUUGAGACAAAAAAAAUCCUUUAGCCAACAAUAUAUCAACCAGGAAAAAAUAAAGAAAGGAAAAGUUACUGGUGUUCUUAGCGCCAGAGUACCGUGCUUCACUAAAAUAUUGGCAUAUGUUUUCUAUAUUCAACAAUAGAUUCCAGAGACAGCAGUUGACGCAGGUGAAGGUUUUGUUAAUUAGAGCGCGUAGGUUGAUACUUCUUGGUGAGCCCUGCACUCAAUCGCGUGGGCGAAGAGUUUUAUUUAUUUGCUAUAGUCUUUUCUUUUGAACUCUUAGAUUCGCUCCAUAGUCAUUCUUUUAGUGACAUGAGUAUUCUUUCGUUAUUAUAGAUUUAAGAUGAGUAUUGCAUUUUCUUAUCGAAUUGGAGAUAAAUUAGUAUUGCUGGUUGUUAGUGUGUUAAUUAUUAAUGGUGGAGACUUGUUUUGAUUAAUUGAUAAAUUGUUGGUUGGUUGGUUUGAUAUUA